ensembl:snRNA U2 U2 spliceosomal RNA
UUCACAAAUCUUUUAAAAAUUACAAAGUUCUAGUAUCUGUUCUUAUCAGUUUAAUAUCUGAUACAUCCUAUAUCCUAGGACAAUAUAGUAAAUGGAUUUUGGGGAUUAGGAGAUGGAAUAAGACAUUGCUCCGUCCACUCCACAUAUCGACCUGGCAUUGCAGUACUUCCAGGAACGGUGCACUCCUU